UCCUGUAUCCUGUUUUUUUUUUUUCCUUUUUGGUGAAUAGAGUUAUUUGAUAUUCGUAUCCGAAGGUUUAUCCGUUUAGUUAGGUUGAGAACCACAAAGUAUCAAGGUGCUUGGUUGAUAGACUUACCUAAAGUGGUUGAGAGAAUCGAGGUUCAAAUUCCAAGUGAUUUCCUUCCAUAGAGUUACUUGAUACUUGUUGCUGGUAGUUGUGGGAGUUGAGAGGUAUUUUAUGGAAUACGUCCAGAUGUGUGUAGGUUGGUUGGGAUAUCACGGUUAUAGAGUUACCCCGUACUUGUGUUGAUGGGAGGUAGUGGAAUCAGUGAACUUGUAAAUUGGAUUAUACAUGGAUUGAGAAGUGAUAAGUUAAUUUGAUGAAAAAUUUGGCCUGUAUAACUCUUAACUGGCUUCGAUUUGUGUUAAAUGCUAACAAAAUCCUCCUUUUUUUGUAAAUCUGUAGUAACUUUAUCUGAACUCAUUGAUUGGGACGAACAAUUAGAUGAAUGAUUGUUGUCAUUAGUUAUUAGUGAAAUGCAUUUUCUGUUUUCUUCUGUGGAUAGGAGCUUUACUGAUGUUAGGGUCACAACGUGUAGUUUGUUUAGUUUUCGUUCAGUAAGCUAAUCGUGAAGCUUUGUAUAUAGGUUGCAUCACGACUAAGGAGCUUGGGACUGUGAUGAGGUCGUUGGGACAGAACCCUACUGAAGCUGAGCUCCAGGACAUGAUAAACGAGGUGGAUGCAGAUGGUAAUGGAACCAUCGACUUCCCAGAGUUUCUAAACCUUAUGGCCAGGAAGAUGAAGGAUACUGACUCUGAGGAG
rnacentral:misc_RNA from 1 species